AAAGUCGUAACAAGGUUUCCGUAGGUGAACCUGCGGAAGGAUCAUUAACACGAAUUUAUUAUCCAAUAUCAAAAACCAAACGUGAACCAAAACCCCUCUCCCUAUUUCAGAAAUGAUUUAGGCUAACCUUUUAUUAAUUUUUUUAAACCCCUGAAAACUUAUCGAGUUUUGUUUUAAAAUUUAUUUUAAUUCAAAACCCAACUAACUAAAAAUUUUACUAAGACCCAACUUAACUGUUGUCUCUUAUUAAUAUUUUUUCUUUACGAAAUAAAUAUUAGAUAUUAUAGAACAACUCUUAGCAAUGGAUAUCUUGGUUCUC
rnacentral:misc_RNA from 1 species